rnacentral:rRNA from 1 species
UACGUAGGGGGCUAGCGUUGUCCGGAAUCAUUGGGCGUAAAGAGCGUGUAGGCGGUCCGGUAAGUCCGCUGUGAAAGUCGGGGGGCUCAACCCUCGAAUGCCGGUGGAUACUGUCGGGCUAGAGUGCGGAAGAGGCGAGUGGAAUUCCUGGUGUAGCGGUGAAAUGCGCAGAUAUCAGGAGGAACACCUAUUGCGAAGGCAGCUCGCUGGGACGGUAACUGACGCUGAGACGCGAAAGCGUGGGGAGGCAAACAGG